rnacentral:tRNA from 1 species
GGCUGUGGCUCAGUGGUAGACCACUUGCCUAGCAAGUGUGAGGCACUGGGUUCAAUCCGCAGCACCA